AAUGAACGUUGGCGGCAUGGAUUAGGCAUGCAAGUCGAGCGGGUGUAGCAAUACAUCAGCGGCGUAAGGGACAGGAACACGUAGAUUACCUGCCCUCGGGUCUGGGAUAGCCACGGGAAACUGUGGGUAAUACCAGAUGAUAUCUCCGGAUCAAGGGUGUGAUUCCGCCCGAGGAUGGGUCUGCGUCCUAUUAGCUAGUUGGUGAGGUAAUGGCUCACCAAGGCGAUGAUGGGUAGCAGGUGUGAGAGCACGACCUGCGUCAUUGGGACUGAGACACUGCCCAGACACCUACGGGUGGCUGCAGUCGAGAAUUUUUGGCAAUGGGCGAAGGCCUGACCAAGCGAUGCCGCGUGCGGGAUGAAGGCCUUCGGGUUGUAAACCGCUGUCAGUGGGGAGGAAAGCUUUGCGAAGAGCAAGGCUUGACCUAUCCGCAGAGGAAGUGUGGGCUAAGUUCGUGCCAGCCGCCGCCGUAA
rnacentral:rRNA from 1 species